rnacentral:rRNA from 1 species
GCUGGCGGCGUGCCUACACAUGCAAGUCGCACGAGAAAGGGUAGCAAUACCUGAGUAAAGUGGCGUACGGGUGAGUAACACGUGACUAACCUACCCUCGAGUGGGGAAUAACUUCGGGAAACCGAGGCUAAUACCGCAUAAUACCCACGGGUCAAAGGAGCAAUUCGCUUGAGGAGGGGGUCGCGGCCGAUUAGUUAGUUGGCGGGGUAAUGGCCCACCAAGACGAUGAUCGGUAUCCGGCCUGAGAGGGCGCACGGACACACUGGAACUGAAACACGGUCCAGACUCCUACGGGAGGCAGCAGUGGGGAAUUUUGCGCAAUGGGGGAAACCCUGACGCAGCAACGCCGCGUGGAGGAUGAAGUCCUUCGGGACGUAAACUCCUUUCGAUCGGGACGAUUAUGACGGUACCGGAAGAAGAAGCCCCGGCUAACUUCGUGCCAGCAGCCGCGGUAAUACGAGGGGGGCGAGCGUUGUUCGGAAUUAUUGGGCGUAAAGGGUGCGUANGCGGUUUGGUAAGUCUCUUGUGAAAACUCCGGGCUCAACUCGGAGCCUGCAGGAGAAACUGCCGGGCUUGAGUGUGGGAGAGGUGA